UGUCAGAACAUUGGGCAUUUUGCCCAAGGUGAUACAGUAAUAUCAAAACACUGAGUGUCCCAUAGUCCCCUUCUGCUAAUAAACUGAUGGUGCUAUGGACACACAUUCUGAAAAAGCUGUUCUCCAUUGAUGAGAAACAAGAGUAAUAGCUUGAUCUCAAGCUGUUUCUUAAACUGGAAGUUAAAUAUGGAACGUCAUAAGGAAAACAAAGAUGUAUAGUAGUACGAGGUAAAGGAAUAGCAGAGGAUCAAAGAACCAAGUGAGAAGGUAGUUUCAAGGAAUUUUAAAGAAACAGCUAUACUGAGAAAAUUUUGAAAAACUUUAUUUGGACAAAAAAGUUAAAUACUGAAAAGCCUGUACAUGCUAAGGAAUGAAAGAUCUGAAUUUUAUUGAAAAACUUUGUUUCGUUCAACAUAAUUAACUUUGAAAUAUUUUAGGUAAAAACUAAUAAA